CUUAACACAUGCAAGUCGAGGGGCAUCAGGAAGAAAGCUUGCUUUCUUUGCUGGCGACCGGCGCACGGGUGAGUAACACGUAUCCAACCUGCCCUUUACUCGGGGAUAGCCUUUCGAAAGAAAGAUUAAUACCCGAUGGCAUAAUGAUUCCGCAUGGUUUCAUUAUUAAAGGAUUCCGGUAAAGGAUGGGGAUGCGUUCCAUUAGGUUGUUGGUGAGGUAACGGCUCACCAAGCCUUCGAUGGAUAGGGGUUCUGAGAGGAAGGUCCCCCACAUUGGAACUGAGACACGGUCCAAACUCCUACGGGAGGCAGCAGUGAGGAAUAUUGGUCAAUGGGCGCUAGCCUGAACCAGCCAAGUAGCGUGAAGGAUGAAGGCUCUAUGGGUCGUAAACUUCUUUUAUAUAAGAAUAAAGUGCAGUAUGUAUACUGUUUUGUAUGUAUUAUAUGAAUAAGGAUCGGCUAACUCCGUGCCAGCAGCCGCGGUAAUACGGAGGAUCCGAGCGUUAUCCGGAUUUAUUGGGUUUAAAGGGAGCGUAGGUGGACUGGUAAGUCAGUUGUGAAAGUUUGCGGCUCAACCGUAAAAUUGCAGUUGAUACUGUCAGUCUUGAGUACAGUAGAGGUGGGCGGAAUUCGUGGUGUAGCGGUGAAAUGCUUAGAUAUCACGAAGAACUCCGAUUGCGAAGGCAGCUCACUGGACUGCAACUGACACUGAUGCUCGAAAGUGUGGGUAUCAAACAGGAUUAGAUACCCUGGUAGUCCACACAGUAAACGAUGAAUACUCGCUGUUUGCGAUAUACAGUAAGCGGCCAAGCGAAAGCAUUAAGUAUUCCACCUGGGGAGUACGCCGGCAACGGUGAAACUCAAAGGAAUUGACGGGGGCCCGCACAAGCGGAGGAACAUGUGGUUUAAUUCGAUGAUACGCGAGGAACCUUACCCGGGCUUAAAUUGCAGUGGAAUGAUGUGGAAACAUGUCAGUGAGCAAUCACCGCUGUGAAGGUGCUGCAUGGUUGUCGUCAGCUCGUGCCGUGAGGUGUCGGCUUAAGUGCCAUAACGAGCGCAACCCUUAUCUUUAGUUACUAACAGGUUAUGCUGAGGACUCUAGAGAGACUGCCGUCGUAAGAUGUGAGGAAGGUGGGGAUGACGUCAAAUCAGCACGGCCCUUACGUCCGGGGCUACACACGUGUUACAAUGGGGGGUACAGAAGGCAGCUAGCGGGUGACCGUAUGCUAAUCCCAAAAGCCUCUCUCAGUUCGGAUCGAAGUCUGCAACCCGACUUCGUGAAGCUGGAUUCGCUAGUAAUCGCGCAUCAGCCACGGCGCGGUGAAUACGUUCCCGGGCCUUGUACACACCGCCCGUCAAGCCAUGGGAGCCGGGGGUACCUGAAGUACGUAACCGCAAGGAUCGUCCUAGGGUAAAACUGGUGACUGGGGCUAAGUC
rnacentral:rRNA from 1 species